GGAGAGUUGCCGGAGUGGUCGAUCGGGGCAGACUCGAAAUCUGCUGUCCUGCCUGGCGGGACCGGGGGUUCGAAUCCCUCACUCUCCG
rnacentral:tRNA from 1 species